AACGAACGCUGGCGGCAUGCCUAACACAUGCAAGUCGAACGAGACCUUCGGGUCUAGUGGCGCACGGGUGCGUAACGCGUGGGAACCUGCCCUUAGGUUCGGAAUAACUCCCCGAAAGGGGUGCUAAUACCGGAUAAUGUCUUCGGACCAAAGAUUUAUCGCCUUUGGAUGGGCCCGCGUUGGAUUAGCUAGUUGGUAGGGUAAAAGCCUACCAAGGCGACGAUCCAUAGCUGGUCUGAGAGGAUGAUCAGCCACACUGGGACUGAGACACGGCCCAGACUCCUGCGGGAGGCAGCAGUGGGGAAUAUGGGACAAUGGGCGAAAGCCUGAUCCAGCAAGGCCGCGUGAGUGAUGAAGGCCUUAGGGUUGUAAAGCUCUUUUACCCGGGAUGAUAAUGACAGUACCGGGAGAAUAAGCUCCGGCUAACUCCGU
rnacentral:rRNA from 1 species